UACGGAGGGUGCAAGCGUUAUCCGGAUUCACUGGGUUUAAAGGGUGCGUAGGCGGAUAGGUAAGUCCGCUGUGAAAGUCGGGGGCUCAACCCUCGGAUGCCGGUGGAUACUGUCGGGCUUGAGUACGGAAGAGGCGAGUGGAAUUCCUGGUGUAGCGGUGAAAUGCGCAGAUAUCAGGAGGAACACCAGUGGCGAAGGCGACUUCCUGGCCUGUUCUUGACGCUGAGGCGCGAAAGCUAGGGGAGCAAACGGG
rnacentral:rRNA from 1 species